CCCGUACUAAAGGGGUAUUAAAAAAAAUACUAAAGGGGUACUAAAGGAGUACUAAAGGGGUGCUAAAGGGGUACUAAAGGUCACCAUUAUGAAGGACUACGCAGAACAACGAAGUUUUAUUCUGGUAGUCGUUAUUCUUAUUAUUCCCUACGACUUCUGUAUUCCGAUAUAUAUCAUCGAGGUCCUCCUGUUCCAGCAUUCUAUCAGAAUUUUUACACAGAAG
rnacentral:lncRNA from 1 species